rnacentral:rRNA from 1 species
CACGUAGUUAGCCGGAGCUUUCUUCACAGGUACAGUCUUUUUCUUCCCUGUGGACAAUAGUUUACAAUCCGAAAACCUUCUUCCUAUACGCGGCGUCACUGCGUCAGAGUUGCCUCCAUUGCGCAAUAUUCCCGACUGCUGCCUCCCGUAGGAGUCUGGGCCGUAUCUCAGUCCCAAUGUGGCCGUUCAACCUCUCAGUCCGGCUACUGAUCGUCGCCUUGGUAGGCCUUUACCCCACCAACUAGCUAAUCAGCCGCAAGCUCAUCUAUCAGCGAAUUGCUUCUUUCCCACUAACAUCAUGCGAUGUUUAUGGCAUAUGCGGUAUUAGCAGUGAUUUCUCACUGUUAUUCCCCUCUGAUAGGCAGAUUUCUUACGUGUUACUCACCAGUCCGCCACUAACCGCUUACCUUGCAAGCAAGAUAUUAAGUUCGUUCGACUUGCAUGUCUUAUGUGCGCCGCCAGCGUUUUAUCCUGAGCCAGGAUA